GUGAUGACUUUGAUUCACACUUCCCACCGUUUAAUUCACUUUGCCCCUCCUCUCUCCUCAGAGUGCUACACUGCCAACGGAGAAGACUACAGGGGCUUUCAGAACCAGACCAGCCUUCACGGUGGGAAACCCUGCCUCUUCUGGAACGAGACCUUCCAGCACCCUUACAACACCCUCAAGUACCCCAAUGGAGAGGGAGGUCUGGGCAGCCACAACUACUGCAGGAAUCCUGAUGGGGAUGUUCAACCGUGGUGCUACAUUGCCGAUCACGAGGAUGGCAUCUACUGGCGGUACUGUGACAUCCCCACAUGCCAGAUGCCGGGAAACUUGGGCUGUUUCAAAGACAGCGGGGACCCGCCCACCCUGUCCGGCUCCAGCGAGACGUCCAACAAGCUCACCAUCCAGAACUGCAUCACGUUCUGCAGGAAGCAAAGAUACAGGCUGGCUGGCAUGGAGUCGGGCUACGCCUGUUUCUGUGGCAACGAGGUGGACCUGCGCAGUCACGGGGAGUCGCCCAGCAUGGAGUGUAACCAUGUUUGUUUCGGCGACCACACGCAGCCCUGCGGCGGCGACGGCUGGGUCAUCAUCUUUGACACACGUGUGGGGGCCUGCGGCGGGAACUACACCUCCCCGUCGGGGGUGAUCUACUCCCCCGACUUCCCCGACAAAUACGGGGCGGGCCGCGUCUGCUACUGGACCAUCCAGGUCCCGGGGGCCGCCGCCAUCCUCUUCAACUUCACCUUCUUCGACGUGUCCCACCAGACCGACAUGGUGGAGCUCCUGGACGGCUACACCAACCAGGUGGUGGCCCGCUUCGACUUCCGCAGCCCGCCGCUGGAGCUGGUCAACGUCACGGGCGACUUCGUCAUCCUGUACUUCUACUCGGACCGAACCAACCAGGCGCAGGGAUUCGCUCUGCUGUAUCAAGGUGAGGAUGGCCUGGAGUCAUGGACACGCACCACGUCCAACGGCCACUCCACCCAGAUCCUCUACGUGAUCACCUCCAGCCCCGGGAAACCGGAGCACAACAUGCCAGUGUGGACCAUCUACGCUCUGGCUGCUCUCCUCAUCCUCACCGUCAUCGCCAUGGUGGCCAAGCUGCUGCUGCACGUCACAGUCAAGUCCCCGAACAUCCCCACGGUGAGCGGCUCCGACAGCUGCAGCCAGAGCACGGCGUCCACCGAGCCGUGGAUCAUCUUCUACCGGCCGUCCACCAUCUCGCUCUUCAAGAAGAAGCUAAAGAACCACCACGGAGACCGCAGCCCGCUGGUGGGCAACUAGCGCGCUCGCCAAGCUCCACCUUUAAUCCGAAACGCCUCUGUCAACCCACAAAAUAAAAAAAAAAACUGCUCUGUAGGAGGAGCCGCC
rnacentral:lncRNA from 1 species